GAUGAACGCUGGCGGCGUGCCUAAUACAUGCAAGUCGAGCGAACAGACGAGGAGCUUGCUCCUCUGACGUUAGCGGCGGACGGGUGAGUAACACGUGGAUAACCUACCUAUAAGACUGGGAUAACUUCGGGAAACCGGAGCUAAUACCGGAUAAUAUAUUGAACCGCAUGGUUCAAUAGUGAAAGACGGUUUUGCUGUCACUUAUAGAUGGAUCCGCGCCGCAUUAGCUAGUUGGUAAGGUAACGGCUUACCAAGGCAACGAUGCGUAGCCGACCUGAGAGGGUGAUCGGCCACACUGGAACUGAGACACGGUCCAGACGCCUACGGGAGGCAGCAGUAGGGAAUCUUCCGCAAUGGGCGAAAGCUUGACGGAGCAACGCCGCGUGAGUGAUGAAGGUCUUCGGAUCGUAAAACUCUGUUAUUAGGGAAGAACAAAUGUGUAAGUAACUAUGCACGUCUUGACGGUACCUAAUCAGAAAGCCACGGCUAACUACGU
rnacentral:rRNA from 1 species